AUACAUAAAUAACUACAACGAUAUGAAUACAAUGUGUAUGACUUGGAGCUGGUAUCUGGCGAGUGAUAUGCAAUUCUACAUAAUUGGCGUAGCUUUAUUGAUUUUGUCGACCGUAUAUAUGUAUUGGACUAUUAUUAUACUGGGUGCACUUUUAAUUGGAUCAAUCUUACUUUCCGGUUACAUUCCAUAUAUUUAUGA